UAGGGAAUCUUCCGCAAUGGACGCAAGUCUGACGGAGCAACGCCGCGUGAGUGAAGAAGGAUUUCGGUUUGUAAAACUCUGUUGUUAGAGAAGAACAGCGCAUAGAGUAACUGUUAUGCGUGUGACGGUAUCUAACCAGAAAGCCACGGCUAACUACGUGCCAGCAGCCGCGGUAAUACGUAGGUGGCAAGCGUUGUCCGGAUUUAUUGGGCGUAAAGCGAGCGCAGGCGGUCAAUUAAGUCUGAUGUGAAAGCCCCCGGCUCAACCGGGGAGGGGCAAUGGAAACUGGUUGACUUGAGUGCAGAAGAGGAGGGUGGAAUUCCAUGUGUAGCGGUUAAAUGCGUAGAUAUAUUGAGGAACACCAGUGGCGAAGGCGACUCUCUGGUCUGUAACUGACGCUGAGGCUCGAAAGCGUGGGUAGCAAACAGG
rnacentral:rRNA from 1 species